CGAAGGUGGCAAGCGUUACUCGGAAUUACUAGGCGUAAAGGGCAGGUAGGUGGUUCGAUAAGUCUGUUGUGAAAGCUCCCGGCUCAACUGGGAGAGGCCAACAGAAACUAUCGGGCUUGAGUAUGGGAGAGGGUACUGGAAUUCCCGGUGUAGCGGUGAAAUGCGCAGAUAUCGGGAGGAACACCAAUGGCGAAAGCAGGUACCUGGACCAUUACUGACACUCAACUGCGAAAGCUAGGGGAGCAAACAGGAUUAGAUACCCUGGUAGUCCUAGCUGUAAACGAUGCACAUUAGACGUGAGGGGUAUCGACCCCUUCGUGUCGACGCUAACGCAUUAAAUGUGCCGCCUGGGGAGUACGGCCGCAAGGUUG
rnacentral:rRNA from 1 species